rnacentral:rRNA from 1 species
GUAGUCCACGCCGUAAACGUUGGGCGCUAGGUGUGGGGGUCCUUCCACGACCUCCGUGCCGCAGCUAACGCAUUAAGCGCCCCGCCUGGGGAGUACGGCCGCAAGGCUAAAACUCAAAGGAAUUGACGGGGGCCCGCACAAGCGGCGGAGCAUGCGGAUUAAUUCGAUGCAACGCGAAGAACCUUACCAAGGCUUGACAUGCACGGGAAAGUUCCAGAGAUGGUUCCCCCGCAAGGUCCGUGCACAGGUGGUGCAUGGUUGUCGUCAGCUCGUGUCGUGAGAUGUUGGGUUAAGUCCCGCAACGAGCGCAACCCUUGUCUUAUGUUGCCAGCACGUGAUGGUGGGGACUCAUAAGAGACUGCCGGGGUCAACUCGGA